UGGGGAAUAUUGCACAAUGGGCGCAAGCCUGAUGCAGCCAUGCCGCGUGUAUGAAGAAGGCCUUCGGGUUGUAAAGUACUUUCAGUCGGGAGGAAGGUGGUAAGGUUAAUAACCUUAUCAAUUGACGUUACCGACAGAAGAAGCACCGGCUAACUCCGUGCCAGCAGCCGCGGUAAUACGGAGGGUGCAAGCGUUAAUCGGAAUUACUGGGCGUAAAGCACACGCAGGCGGUUGAUUGAGUCAGAUGUGAAAUCCCCGGGCUUAACCCGGGAAUUGCAUCUGAUACUGGUCAGCUAGAGUCUUGUAGAGGGGGGUAGAAUUCCAUGUGUAGCGGUGAAAUGCGUAGAGAUGUGGAGGAAUACCGGUGGCGAAGGCGGCCCCCUGGACAAAGACUGACGCUCAGGUGCGAAAGCGUGGGGAGCAAACAGG
rnacentral:rRNA from 1 species